GGAACGGCAUCAUUUAGACUUCAAUACUUCAUUCUAAAAAAUAUCGCGUCACCUAUUUGAAUUGAUGAAAAUAUUAAUAUUAAAUUAUUGAUGGAAGCACAUUAAUUUUAGAUAAUUCUAAAGUGAAAACUUUUAGAGCUUUCAGACGAGUAAAUCUUUUUUUUUUUUGUGCAGGUUAAAAAAUAAAUUCAAAAUUUGUAACUUAUAAGAUUUAGAUUUUUUUGCAUUAAACUGACUAAAAAAAAUAAAUAAGCUUAAGUGGACUAACAUUGGACUUAAAAUCAAUAUUGGGUCAACAUUAAAAUCCAAACCACCACAA
rnacentral:lncRNA from 1 species